rnacentral:rRNA from 1 species
AUUGAACGCUGGCGGCAGGCCUAACACAUGCAAGUCGAGCGGAUGAAGGGAGCUUGCUCCUGGAUUCAGCGGCGGACGGGUGAGUAAUGCCUAGGAAUCUGCCUGGUAGUGGGGGAUAACGUCCGGAAACGGGCGCUAAUACCGCAUACGUCCUGAGGGAGAAAGUGGGGGAUCUUCGGACCUCACGCUAUCAGAUGAGCCUAGGUCGGAUUAGCUAGUUGGUGGGGUAAAGGCCUACCAAGGCGACGAUCCGUAACUGGUCUGAGAGGAUGAUCAGUCACACUGGAACGGGGACACGGUCCAGACUCCUACGGGAGGCAGCAGUGGGGAAUAUGGGACAAUGGGCGAAAGCCUGAUCCAGCCAUGCCGCGUGUGUGAAGAAGGUCUUCGGAUUGUAAAGCACUUUAAGUUGGGAGGAAGGGCAGUAAGUUAAUACCUUGCUGUUUUGACGUUACCAACAGAAUAAGCACCGGCUAACUUCGUG